CAGCCGCCGCGGUAAUACGAAGGGGGCUAGCGUUGUUCGGAUUUACUGGGCGUAAAGCGCACGUAGGCGGACUUUUAAGUCAGGGGUGAAAUCCCGGGGCUCAACCCCGGAACUGCCUUUGAUACUGGGAGUCUUGAGUUCGAGAGAGGUGAGUGGAAUUGCGAGUGUAGAGGUGAAAUUCGUAGAUAUUCGCAGGAACACCAGUGGCGAAGGCGGCUCACUGGCUCGAUACUGACGCUGAGGUGCGAAAGCGUGGGGAGCAAACAGGAUUAGAUACCCCAGUAGUCCCUGUCUCUUAUAA
rnacentral:rRNA from 1 species